ACUGCCAAAGUUGGUGUCUGAGAUAACACAUUGUGGAGCUGGGGGAAAGCAGGCAGCAUCAGAGGCUCAAGAAAGUUGAUGUUUUGGGUCAGGACCCUUCCUCCAAAAUGGAGGGUGGACGGGAGCUCAGAAACAAAUAGUGUGGAGAGGGAGGAGGUGCUGGGGAAGGUAGGUGGGAUGGUGAUAAAUGAGUACUAUCCAGAUUGGAACAGAUUUACCCCAGAAGGUAUUGAAUACAAGUUCCAAAUCACUCUCAAAAUCCUAGUGACUGUUAACAUUCAUGUUUUUUUUGUCUGUGUGUUUCAGUAGUUGCAUGUCAGUUUGAAUGGUUCAUUGAGAGUGAGGAACCUAUGGACUCACACACACCAUCAUGGAAUUUAAUUCAAAGAGUGACUCCUCUUCAAAGUACUUAGUCGCUUUUAAAAUCUUGACCAUUUCUGCUGUCUAGUUGAACAAGUGUAGCUGAAUACUGCUUCAAUAGGAAUUAGUGUUUAAUAGGAACAUAUUUGUGAAACUUACAGUUCCUCAAGCUUUAGCAUAAACUGGUGGAGACUUUCGGCGCUUGCAAAAAGGCUCACCUCUCUUAAUACUGAAGGAAAAUUGGAGUUUAAAAAUGCGGAUAAAGUUCUCCAAGCUGACAGAAAUUGAAAGCACUCGCAUCCUGUGACGAUGGGGUAGGAGUGGAAGAAUCAGAGUGUUUCUUUGAAAAUUGGCUUGAUGUGUCUGUCCAAGGGUCAUCUGGAGGAAAAAAUACAAGUGUUGAACUCCAUCUGCCACCUCUCAGCCCAUCUGCAGCGAGCAGCAGCGGAGGCAAGACGGACCCGGAAGACUGCAGCUAAGGUAAAGCAGUUUAUUUUUAAAAUUACUUACCGGUAGCGGGCAGCGGUGUUUUUUUUUCCUCUCAGACAAGGAGUGGGAGCAGCAGAGGAAGUGACGAGGACCAGAGGGGCAGCCGGGAAGGAAAGCAGUGACCAUAUAUAUCAGCAAGGCGGCUAAACCCGAGGCUCUACAACUGUAGUGUCUCCCACCCGCCCUCCUCCUCUAACCUAGUUAAUAAGAUAUCUUCAAACAAGUAGCUGAACCCACAGAUUUAUGUGACCAACGAAGCCUGAGCCUUUUGCUUCACGAUGCAGUCCAGAUCCCUCGGCAGCUGGG